CCAGAUUUGGCCAUUAGGGAUUACGCCUUACAAAAAACACUGACUUUUGGUUCUCAAUACAGUAAAGUGCUUUUAGUUGGGGUAGUUUUGCUGA
rnacentral:pre_miRNA from 1 species